rnacentral:rRNA from 2 species
UUCAUGGAGAGUUUGAUCCUGGCUCAGGACGAACGCUGGCGGCGUGCCUAAUACAUGCAAGUCGAGCGGACCGACGGGAGCUUGCUCC